rnacentral:lncRNA from 1 species
GUAGCUACAUUUAAACGUUCGAGUUUGAUGUUUGCACGAUAUCAUCUCACCUUAAUGGAGGUUUGAACGAGUCAACGAAAUGAACGACGAGCUUAGGUUAGGCUUGAUUAAUUCGUCGAUCGGUGCUCGGUGUUGCAACCAUCUUAUCCCGUGCGAAGGUUUAAAAAUAACCAGUGGCAGAACUUGUCACCGACUUUCUCUGCUGUCUUAGAAACAGCACGCCCGGCAUUCAUUGGCGUGGCGGCGUGCAACGCCGAUGGAACCCGUUGCGCUUCCGCCUCUCGUCCCUGUUUGACAUUCGUCGACUUGUACCACUCGGAUCCGUAAAAAUAAUCAUCAAAAGACUAUUUGUCUUUACAUUUGCUGAAAUAAUCGUGGAAUAUUUGUCUUCUCGGAAAUGACACGCUUACGCUUACAUCGUGUAUGGUCUACGAUUUUUUGAUCGAACCUUUUGCUUAAGUUUGGAAAAGAUCGCGAAAUAAUCGUUGAAAGUUCGCUUUCUUGGAAAUGGCAUACUCGUAUUUAUACUAUGUAUGGUCUACGACUUAUCUAUUGACCCUUUGGCUAAGUUUGAAAAACUUGAAACGGUAUUCUUGGUAUUCGCUGGUGUGAUGCAGCAUCCACGUCGCACUUCUGUCCGUUUUAUCUGUUCAGAGUUCGUCGAUUUACGGUUAUAUCUGCAUUUGCAAAAAUCUAUCACCGUAUCUGUGAAAGUAAUCCAAGACUUGUUAUCUUCUCUAGUAUUCGAAAGGUAUUCCAUGCUUAUUCGUGUCACUGUGCUAGAGUGAUAGCAUUUGCACUUCCGUAUUCUCUUAUUUCAAGUUUCCUAACAACGUCUAAAUCAACAUCUAAAUUUUGCAGAAACGUUGCUUUCGCAUUUAUCUUUCUAUUUAUAGAAAUAGUUUGGAUUCCUUAUCUCCUUUGAUAUCGGUAUACACGUGCGGAGUUGAUCGAAUACGUUGUAUCUAUCGACGAAAGCAUUUCAAUCUAUAAAAGUUAUUGCCAACUAUUUGUUUUUCUAUUCAUCGAGAUAAUUACAGCUCUGGGCGACCAUCCACUGAGAUAAUCUAUGCAUUCGUAACGGAUUUCAUUGAACCUACGCGUUUCCUUUGCUUGUAAUUUAUUGUACUACAACAAUCGAGAUUUUCGUGAAAAUAAUCGCAGAAUCGUUAUCUUAUCCGUUAUCUCAGAGACGGUAUUCUUUAUAUUCACGGAAAUAAUCGUCGAUUCGUGGUAUUAAUGUCUUAAAUUAUCGAUGUAUUUAAUCUUGUUUAUAUAUGAUAAUACAGAUAUUUAGAAUGCCAUUAUACUUAUUAUAUAGAAUAGAUAUGGAAUAAUUGGAAUUA